rnacentral:misc_RNA from 1 species
ACAGAUGGUUUGAGGCCUGCUAAAAGCACUGAGGACAAGGGAGACACAUCCAUGCGUUGUGAUAAUGUAUAUAAUAGUUCGUCUACUGGUUUGGUCGAUAAAUUUUGUGGCGAUAAUGUACAUAGUAGUUUGCCCAGUGGAUCGGUCAACAGAGAACAGCAGAAGGAUCAUGUUAAAGAGAGUCUUCCAUCUUUGAUCGAUAUGGGUGAAGGACCAGAUAAUCAAACUGUUAGAAGUGCUUCAAGGAAGAAAAGGAAAGAAAGAAACAAGAUUAAGAACCCUAGCUUGAUAACUUCUGGGGAAGAUGGUAAAUGUCCGAAAAGAAAUUCUCAGAAGUCCUUUAUUUCUGUCAACUCCCGAGGUAGGGAUCCAAGUUCUGAUUGUGUCACUUUAAUAGAUUCG